rnacentral:rRNA from 1 species
UGCGUAGGCGGCUUUUUAAGUUUGGUGUGAAAUCUCCCGGCUCAACUGGGAGGGUGCGCCGAAUACUGAGAGGCUAGAGUGUGGGAGAGGAAAGUGGAAUUCCUGGUGUAGCGGUGAAAUGCGUAGAUAUCAGGAGGAACACCGGUGGUGUAAACGGCUUUCUGGACCAUAACUGACGCUGAGGCACGAAAGCGUGGGUAGCAAACAGGAUUAGAUACCCUGGUAGUCUACGCCCUAAACGAUGCAUAUUUGGUGUGGGCCAUUCAUUUGGUCUGUGCCGGAGCUAACGCGUUAAAUAUGCCGCCUGGGGAUACAGUCGCAAGGCUGAA